AAAUUGAAGAGUUUGAUCAUGGCUCAGAUUGAACGCUGGCGGCAGGCCUAACACAUGCAAGUCGAGCGGUAACACGGGGAGCUUGCUCCUGGGUGACGAGCGGCGGACGGGUGAGUAAUGUCUGGGAAACUGCCUGAUGGAGGGGGAUAACUACUGGAAACGGUAGCUAAUACCGCAUAAUGUCGCAAGACCAAAGAGGGGGACCUUCGGGCCUCUUGCCAUCAGAUGUGCCCAGAUGGGAUUAGCUAGUAGGUGGGGUAACGGCUCACCUAGGCGACGAUCCCUAGCUGGUCUGAGAGGAUGACCAGCCACACUGGAACUGAGACACGGUCCAG
rnacentral:rRNA from 1 species